GGCGUCUGCAGCUCAGGCUCAGUGGGUCACGUCGCUGGAGAGUCACGGCCGAAGAGUCGACGCUCUGGAGGAGGCCGUGAGGCGUCCAGAGGAGGACGAGCGCUACGUGACCUGGGAGGCCAUGAAGUCCGCCCUCAUCACAGAGAGACAGAACCUACACAAGGGCCUCGUUCAGACCACGAAAGAUGAAAACGUGACCAAAACUGAACCGAAGACGUCACAUGUUCCUCCUCCUCCGUCUAAAA